UGGAAGCUAAUAAUUAUGAUCGGAUCAUUGCAAUUGCAUACUCUUCUCCUGGAUCGUGCAACUAGUGAAAUUGUGAUGGCUGGAGAAGAAGAGCCGAGAUGUUUCUUGGCGGUUUUGCUAACAGACAAAGGAAAAAAGUGUGUUGGCUUCUUCUGGCUUUAGACUGAUGUGAAAAUAUUGCAGAAGGUUCUCAUUUCUCAAAUGCAGACACACAUGGUGAAACUUCUUCUUCUCUCCAAUGGGAGGUGUGUAAUGGGACAGCUUCUUCUCUCCAAAACGUUUGAUUUGUAGGAGGCAGGGAUUGACGAGAAAGUUAAGAUGCUCUUCUUCUCGUUUCUUUUCUUUUUUUUGGUUAUGAUGCAUGUGACUGUAGAAGAGGUACAACAUAACAUUGUGUGAUAUUUUAUUCUUGAUUUAUAAUAUGCAGGAAAAGGGUGUGUGUGUGUUACUUACGACGCUGUUGGAUCAUAUGAGCGAGCGAGUUGGAUACGGUGCUCAAGGUUCAGGCUACACUGGAGUCAAUCUUAUGAUACUUAAGGCUGACGGCAUCAAGAGUGAAUUCAUGUCCUUCUGGUUUGCUGCAAGCACUUUGUUUGGUCCUGAUUCUUAGUGGCGUCUUGUUGGCUUAGAUUGGUGGAGGAAGUUCCUACGAUUAGCCUAAAGAAGGCAGCAGGUUCUGGAGCUUCUGGUGAAAACUGUUUUCGCAAUAUGCUCAGAGAAGGAUUUGUUUUGUGUAAUGAAGCUGUUCACGAAACAGAGGAAAGCCCAAUAACAACAAUUUCAGCCCAAUAAACAAUGACUACCUAC